ensembl:lncRNA GSCAR glioma stem cell association long noncoding RNA
AGUCCAGUCUUUUCUAAAUCUUACUGGGGGAAAACCCUGAACAGGAACCAUUAGAGAAGAAGGCGACCCCUCUAAUAACCCCUAUAAUAACAGGGCCCGGCUGCUGGGCAUUGUCAACAGGGAAAUAACUCGGUCGCUGCUUUUCUGGCGAAGACGUGCCAUAGCCUGGGAUAGUAGCCUGGGGUCACAGGGCCACACCGAAAGCCCUCAUCUCUCUCUACCUUCUCUCUGCAGAAAAAGCGUGAGGCUGCUCCUCAUUGACACCCACUUAGAAGUUGGUUGAUGAAGACUGCAGUGAGCACUCUCAGCAAGGGUAAAACUGGCACAUUUGGGCCUGAAAUGGGGUCCUCGGGGCCUGGUAGGCUCAAGUAUGCCCUUGGUAAUUUCCAGCUUACAGAGAAAAGAAGAGCGUUCACUUUGUUUCUGCUGGCAGGGUGAAAAGGGGCAGCUACGUGGCCAAAGGUUACACGUUUUCCCUCACUGCGAACUGUCAGCCUUAUUCCGAGUAUAGCCACCACUGACUUCUGACCCUGGACGGUGUCAUUCACCGGGAACUCUUAACGUCUCCGGCCGAGAAAGGAGGGGACGGUAGCUAACUCUUUCGGCGGAGCUGAACCCCUACCCCCUCCCUCCUGUGACCCGAGCCUACUGCGAGACCUGGACACCGCCAAGUGGGGCAACGUUUCGCUCUUACAGCAGCUUCCCGACCUCUGCUAACUCCCAGGCCAUUUCAGAAGGCGCAAAGGGGAGAAGGAAAAGUUCAGAGAGCAAACGUUGCUCUCUAGCCUCCCCCAACCUCCAGUUCCUCUCUUCCUUCCCCUGCUGUCCAAACUUCAUACUGUCCACCAGGGGAGACUGCCCCCCGACUCGGCUGUCCCUCACUAACGCGGUGGUCCCCGACCUAGGGUCGCAGAUGCACUUCCCGAGGCACAUGCGGGCGCAACAAGGUAACUGCGCUCCAGGCGUGGAACCCCAGUCCUGAGCGAUGUGAAACCAACCCCAAGCGGGCUGUGCUCACAGUUUGGGAAAAGGUAAUGUCUCUGAUCCCCCCAUAUCCACCCCUCCCCCAACCCUUGAGGACAGAUUCGGGUACCGCAAAACCGCCAGGCACAGAAGGGAGGAGAGCUGGGACGGACAGGCUACUCCCGGGGAGGGGAUCACCUCCACGUUCCCGCUCCAAGCGGCUGGUAGCUGCUAGUAAUUCAGACUUCUGGCCUCGGAGGAAGAGUGCCAGGGAAGAAAGAGACUAAGAAAUCCUCAAACGCCCGUAGAACAAGACCCGGGAGAAGUGCCCAAGUGGGCGCGGCCGUCGGCGAGGUCAGUUUAGCCUGUACUGGACCGUGGAACCCUGAGCGCUGAGGCUGUGGGGUCGCGGGAUUCUACUGGGCCUCGCCAGCUUCCACAGUCUGCUGCGGUCUGUGGAAUGGGGAAGGAUAAAAUACAGACUUUGGUUUAUUUUAAAAAAUGGUAUUCUGCCUGAACUAUCAGGUCCAUGGUUUGCUUUUGGCGCUUGCAGAAGCACCAGGACGAUCUUUCCAAAAAUUUCUGCAGUAGUUUAACUAACCAAUGAAAUAAAUGAAGGUUAAAAAACCAAAA